GACAUCCUAAGAACGCAUACAGGGCUUAAGCCCAAGUAUUCAACAUUGAUGGAUUGUUUAAUAGUACGACAACCGAUUGUAUCAGACUUGGUGAUUAUGACGGUCUUCUCCAGCUCCAACAUCACCAAUCCAACGAAAACCUGAAUAUUCCAUUCUUCUUCACGUACAAUCGACAUAUCACAACAUCAUUCUCCUUUUGCUGCAAAGUUAUAAUGCCAGGUUUGGAUAGCAGCUUUCCGAUGUAAUUAAUUUUUUUAAGGAAUUUGAUCGAUAGCAAAACCAUUGAUGUUUGGUGAAGGGCUAUCUGGAGGCGAAAUCAAAGUGUUCUCUGUUUCAUCGAGCUUAAUUAACAAUCAAUCUUGGCUGGAGAAUGUUACUGCUUGGCUUCAGCGGAAAUGAUUCAGGGUACACUGGCUUUUGGUGUUGAUGUUGUUUUGAGUUCCAAGCUACUGGUGUUCAAACUAUUUAAGACAGAGCUAGUGGCUAGGUUUCUCAGACUUGAAAGUGGUAUCGGAGCUGUGUUUCUUAAUGACUUGUGAAGAAAUUGAUUUGACAGAAGCUAUUUUCAGUAAGGUUUUUUCUCAAAUCUCUACAUCCUGUCUCAGUCUUCCUUACCUCCUCCCCUUAUUUUUAAAGGUGAAAACUUUGAUUACCGGGCAGCAAGGAUGGAGCCCUUCUUUUAUGGCCAAUGGUUUAUGGCACUUGAUUGAGGAUGGGUUUGAUCUUGACUCCUUGUCAAAUAACCCUACUAUUCAAGAGCUUAAAGAUUUCAAUGAUCUAAAGCUUAAGAACAUUAAAGCUCUUAUCAUUUUGCAUUCUGCCAUUGACGAAAAAAUUAUCUUUAGAAUUAUGGGUAUCAAAGUAGUUAAGGCUGCUUGGGAUAAACUUAAAGAAGAGUUUCAGGGGAGUGUAAGAGUGAGGCAUUAGAGGUUGUUAACUCUUAAAAGAGUGUUUGAAAUGCUGAAAAUGAAUGAUUUAGAGACUGUUGGGGAUUAUUCAAACAAGCUGAUUGAGAUUAUUAAUCAAAUGAAAUUACAUGAGGAAGUUGUCUCAGAUUACAAGGUAGUUGAGAUGUGGAUAAGCUUGCCUGAUAGAUUUGAGGCUAAGAUCUUAGCUAUUGAGGAAUCUUGUGAUUUGAGUAAGCUUACCAUUGUUGAGUUGUGUAGUAAAUUACAAGCUCAGGAGUUGAGAUUUACUAGAAAGUCAGAAGAGGCACAAAGGGAAUCAUACCUCAGGUACAAAGGAAGGCAAGAAGAAAUUUUUUGACAAGGCUGGAAAAGGGAAGUCUCCAGAAAGUUCCAUUUCUGGAGAUCAAUCAAAGAAUGGCAAGUUUCCACCUUGUUCUCACCGCAAUAAGACUAAUCAUCCUGAAAAGUCUUGUUGGAAAAAGUAUGGGAGGCCUCAAUACAGGUUUUGCAUAAAAGUGUGACAUAUUGAGAAGUAUUGCAAAGAGAAGCAAAAUCAGGGGCAACCAGGAGGCUCAGCUUCUCAUGAAGUAAAUUUCACUAAUGAACAGCAAGUGCAUGAUCAUUUUUUUAUGCAAUUGGUUGUUCUGUAGUUCCUAGAAAUGGAGUGUUGCUUAUUGACAGUGGGUGCACUAGUAAUAUGGCCAAGGAUGUCAAUAUGUGUUCAACUCUGGACAAGACUCUUAGAACCAGGGUAACUUUGGGAAAUGGUGAAGUGGUGCAACAUGAAGGCAAGGGUUCAGUGCCUCUGAGUGCCAAGCAAGCAAAAUAAGAAGUGUGCAAAAUUCCACAACCAGGGCAUUGAGAAUAAGGAAGAACUCCAUUUCUUUUUUGGAGGUCAAGGAGUCACCGGCAUUCAUGCUUUCAAUCCAUCUGCUAACCCACCUACUAACGAGGUUGAUGAAGGUUCACAGCCCUUAGAGCAAGGACAAAGGGGAACUAAGGAUCUCCCUCUCUUAGGUGAUGAGGAUUCCACUGAUCUAGAGUAUGAUGCAAAUGCAUAUGUGCAUGCCGAUACGCAGAGUUCGCCAACUCCACCACCUCAUGCUUGUAGGAGGUCUACCACUCCCGCUCCUCACGAUAAAUGAAAGAGGAAGGCCAUUGAUGUUCGUGAAGAGAUCAAUAACUCAUUAGGAUAGUUGGUUGCUACAGUGAAUAGCUGUACUUCUAUUAGUAUUAUUGUAUACAACAAUAGGGAUAUAGAUGAUGUUAUGCUUAUAUUGAAAGAGUUUUCAAAGAGAUCCAAUGGGGACCUCUACUAAAGUGUACAUUGAAGUUGUUCGAGAAACAAGAGAAUCGGGAUUGGUUUAUGUGUAUAGCGAGAAUGAAAUGGCAAUUGGAGUGGUCACUUGUGAAGUUUGAUGAGUCCACUGAUGGGGGACCAAGUGAUGCUUCAAGGGCUUGAUGCUAUAUUCAGCAUCUGUUUUUAUUCUACUCUAUUAUUAUUAUUUGAAUUGAAUUAAGUUUUGUUUUUAUUUACCA